UACGUAGGGCGCAAGCGUUGUCCGGAAUUAUUGGGCGUAAAGAGCUCGUAGGCGGCUUGUCGCGUCGAUUGUGAAAGCCCGGGGCUUAACUCCGGGUCUGCAGUCGAUACGGGCAGGCUAGAGUGUGGUAGGGGAGAUCGGAAUUUCAGGUGUAGCGGUGAAAUGCGCAGAUAUCAGGAGGAACACCGGUGGCGAAGGCGGGUCUCUGGGCCGAAACUGACGCUGAGGAGCGAAAGCGUGGGGAGCAAACAGG
rnacentral:rRNA from 1 species